CCGAUCCCUAAAUCACUCUACGUGCCUCCUCAGUCCUCCCCGAAUCUUCACUCUCAAUCCCAAUCCCAAUCCCUUACUUGAAAAGUUGAUAAAAUCUCAAAGAGCCCAUAAGUUUUCUCAAGAAUUUAGUUCUAAAGGAGGCUAUUUGCAGAAGUGGAGCAAGAUUUGAAGAGAGUUGGAGAGUUGCAGUUCGAUACUUCGAUUUGAAGAAAAGGAGUUCAAGUGUAUCAAGAUGGUAAUCUGAGAUCUUAUUUCGGUUUGAUACUGUGUCAUCUCUCUCAUUGCUGGAGAACCUAUAGGGUAAUCCUCUCUCCACCCUGUGUGCAUUGGGGGUUUGAAGAUAUUUGCUCAAAUUCCAGGCGAAGGUCAUAAUUUACAGGAACAUGAAUCUAGGAGUUUUUCUUUCUUUGUUCUGCAUUUGCAUUCAAGUUCUUUAUCUCAUAUUCAUUGCCUCGUUCGGUCUCGCUAAGAUGGCAUGGGUAUUGAACUAUUGAUUAUUGAAUCUGCAGAAAUUGCUACGGGAAGGUUUAGCUGAUUUGUAUCACAGUCCUAGCUUUAGGAAAGUUUCUGUAAUGUAAACGUACAUGUAAUUGUUAUGUUUGUUGGGCCUAUGUAAUUGUUAUGUAAGGAUGACAAUUUAUAAUGUUUUUUUUCUAG
rnacentral:lncRNA from 1 species